rnacentral:rRNA from 1 species
GAUGAACGCUGGCGGCGUGCUUAACACAUGCAAGUCGAACGGAAAGGCCCUGCGUUUGCGGCUUUCUCGAUUGGCGAACGGGUGAGUAACACGUGUGUAUCCCCCCCUUGACUUUGGGAUAACUCUUGGAAACUGCGGCGAAUACCGGAUAUGAGCUCCUGCUGCAUGUUGUUGGUUGGAAAGUUUUGGCUGUUGUGGAUCGACUCGCUGCAUAUGAGCCUGUUUGUGUAGUAGUGGCUUACCAAGGUUUUGACGGAUAGCCGGCAUGAGAGCGUGACCGGCGACAAUGGGACUGAGAGAGGGACCAGACUCCUACGUGAGGCAGCAGUGGAGAGUAUUGCAGAGUGGGCGGGAGUCUGAUGCAGAAGCGCCGCGUGCGGGAUGACGGGCUUCUGGUUGUAAACCGCUUUCGCCUGUAACGAAGCGUGCGUGACGGUAAUGAGUAAAGAAGCACCGGCUAACUACGUG